rnacentral:rRNA from 1 species
UACGUGGGGGGCAAGCGUUGUUCGGAAUUACUGGGCGUAAAGGGCUCGUAGGCGGCCAAUUAAGUCAGACGUGAAAUCCCUCGGCUUAACCGGGGAACUGCGUCUGAUACUGGAUGGCUUGAGGUUGGGAGAGGGAUGCGGAAUUCCAGGUGUAGCGGUGAAAUGCGUAGAUAUCUGGAGGAACACCGGUGGCGAAGGCGGCAUCCUGGACCAAUUCUGACGCUGAGGAGCGAAAGCCAGGGGAGCAAACGGG